UCCCUGGUGGCUCAGUCGGUAAAGCGUCUGCCUACCAUGCUGGAGACCUGGGUUCGAUUCCUGGCUCGGGAA